rnacentral:tRNA from 1 species
GGUUUGUGGCUCAGCGGAGAGAGCUCGCCUAGAAUGUUUGAGGCCCUGGGUUCAAUCCUCAGCACCA